GGAGACCGGAAGAGGGGGCCAGGGCUCCACUGGUCCCUGUGUAAUCUCUCUGGGCCUCAGUUUCUCCCUUUUUUUCUUUUUUUUUUUGAGAUGGAAUUUUGCUCGUUACCCAGGCUGGAGUGCAAUGGCGUGAUUGUGAUCUUGGCUCACUGUAACCUCCGCCUUCCAGGUUCAAGCAAUUCUCCUGCUUCAGCCUCCCAAGUAGCUGGGACUACAGGCAUGCACCACCACACCCAGCUAAUUUUUUGUAUUUUUAGUAGAGACAGGGUUUCACCAUGUUGACCAGGAUGGUCUCAAUCUCUUGACCUUGUGAUCCACCCUCCUCAGCCUCCCACAGUGCUGGGAUUACAGGCAUGAGCCACAGUGCCCCAGCCCCUUUUUAAAAGAGAAAUAGUAUUUCCCUUCCUACUUCCACCCCUGGGGAGUGGUGAGGCUGCCACCCUGGUUGGGCUGCCCUGUGUGUUCCUGAGUAAGUGACAUCACUUCUCUGAGCCCAUGUCUUCACUGGUGCAAUGGGGAGAAUAAGGACUGAAUCAGCAUGAGGAUUGACUUGAGGAGCUAAUACCCUUUGAAGCAGUGUUAAGCAGACGCUCUGUACAUUUGGCUCGCAGCUCUGUUGCUCCACAGGUCAGUGAUUGGGCAAUAACACACGGCAGCUUGGAAGAAAGACUACAUUUCCCAGCCUGCUUUGCAGCUAGGUGGAGCCAUGUGACUAAUGUGGCCAAUAGGAUGCGAGUAGAAGUGUAGGUUUUCCCCCUUGAUCACGUAAAAGAUAGUGCUGUGUCUGCCCCGUUCCUUUCCCCUUGCCAUUGGCGGAAGGUGCACGCUGUCCCAUCUUGAACAUGUGAAUGAGGGCAACACGGAAUGACUACAGCUUAACAAGACGGAAGGAACUUGGAUCCGCUAUGCCAAGGAGCACCAGCCAUUAAUGGUUGAUAUGUAAAUGAUUAUAUGAGGGAUAAAUAAACUUCUCUCUCCUUUAA